rnacentral:rRNA from 1 species
CUGGUGGGUGCUUACACAUGCAAGUCGAACGGUGAACACGGAGCUUGCUCUGUGGGAUCAGUGGCGAACGGGUGAGUAACACGUGAGCAACCUGCCCCUGACUCUGGGAUAAGCGCUGGAAACGGCGUCUAAUACUGGAUAUGUGACGUGACCGCAUGGUCUGCGUCUGGAAAGAUUUUUCGGUUGGGGAUGGRCUCGCGGCCUAUCAGCUUGUUGGUGAGGUAAUGGCUCACCAAGGCGUCGACGGGUAGCCGGCCUGAGAGGGUGACCGGCCACACUGGGACUGAGACACGGCCCAGACUCCUACGGGAGGCAGCAGUGGGGAAUAUUGCACAAUGGGCGCAAGCCUGAUGCAGCAACGCCGCGUGAGGGAUGACGGCCUUCGGGUUGUAAACCUCUUUUAGCAGGGAAGAAGCGAAAGUGACGGUACCUGCAGAAAAAGCGCCGGCUAACUACGUGCCAGCAGCCGCGGUAAUACGUAGGGCGCAAGCGUUAUCCGGAAUUAUUGGGCGUAAAGAGCUCGUAGGCGGUUUGUCGCGUCUGCUGUGAAAUCCGGAGGCUCAACCUCCGGCCUGCAGUGGGUACGGGCAGACUAGAGUGCGGUAGGGGAGAUUGGAAUUCCUGGUGUAGCGGUGGAAUGCGCAGAUAUCAGGAGGAACACCGAUGGCGAAGGCAGAUCUCUGGGCCGUAACUGACGCUGAGGAGCGAAAGGGUGGGGAGCAAACAGGCUUAGAUACCCUGGUAGUCCACCCCGUAAACGUUGGGAACUAGUUGUGGGGUCCAUUCCACGGAUUCCGUGACGCAGCUAACGCAUUAAGUUCCCCGCCUGGGGGAGUACGGCCGCAAGGCUAAAACUCAAAGGAAUUGACGGGGACCCGCACAAGCGGCGGAGCAUGCGGAUUAAUUCGAUGCAACGCGAAGAACCUUACCAAGGCUUGACAUAUACGAGAAACGGGCCAGAAUGAUCAACUCUUUUGGACACUCGUAAACAGUGGGUGCAUGGACUGUCGUUCAGCCUUCCGUGUCCGKGAGCAUGGUUGGGUUAAGCUC